AAACUUCAGUUGACUAAGAAUUUUCCAUGAAAAAUGUCCUUGUUCUAUUUUAUCUCUGUAGAAAUUAAGAUUUCUGGAAAAUAUCUCCCCCCAGAAGUGUCAAUUUUGUUGGAAGUGUUCAUUUCUUUUCUUCAGGAGAGUAGAAAUGAAAUACUUCCCUUCAGGCUGACAUCAAAUUGUUUGGUCUGAGUUGCCACAAGUGGGGCCGUCUGGGUAAAAGUUGUCCCCUGAAAUGUUUCUGUCAGAAAAAUCAGAAUGGAUUUAAUCAAUGUAUUUUGCAAAUUCAUGUUGAACUGUGACAAUGAACAAAGAAACCUCUGCACAACACCUGGCAUUCUGCCUUUCAACAUUUUGAAAAUGAAAUGAGCCUUGAUUCAAAAGGACUUUAUUUGUUGACACCUAAUUCUUUUUCACUAAAAUGUGUAUCUAAAGAGAAUAAAUUAAUCAUUGCAUUUCAAUCCAAAGAAUAGAUUUUGUUCUUAUUGAAAUGAUUUUCACCUCAUUAUUUGAUACUGUAGCCAGAUGAGAAAUCAGUUGUUUGCAUGCCUCGAGGUAGAUGCUCAUGACCAUGGUAUCCUCUUUGGCUAAAUUACCUCUCCCUCGAUGAGCUGUUUCUCCUCUUUAGCUCAGCAUCCAGGGAGCUGCUUAGCACCACGAUGUGGGAGGCCAGCCCAGACUGGGAACCUGGUGCUUCUCCCACAGGUUUCCUGGGGCUGAAUAGCAGUGUGGGCAGAAGCAGGUUGAUGUCUUGAGCUGUUUAGCUGUUUAGACAUUUCUGAAUGGAAAUUCUAUGACGUUCCAGCUCUGCAAUUUUUUUCCCCCUUGCAUUUUCAGUUUUCUGUCCCUAUUUGGGACGGGCAAAUGUCAAAACAUCGGUUUGGAAUGUUUCUCGUCUUUGUCUCAGAGUCAUUUGGCAAUGAACUCAGUGGCUCGAUACAAAAUAGCAUGGUGCUGAUGGCUUAUUGCUCCCUGGUAUCACACAGGCUCGACACAUCAGGUGCAGCUCAUGCUGCAGUGAGACAAACAGACAGCACCGCUGCUGGCUCCUGAGUGCUCCCGGGAGAGCUGUUUCCACACCAGCCUGGAAAUUGCCUGCUCUUUGCUCAUUUAUUCAAGUGUGCUCCUGUCUGGACGGAGAUGAUCCUGACUGUGCAGUGGGGACUGGGCCCUGGAAAUGCCAUAGACCUGCUGGCAGAGGGUGCCAGGAGUCUGUAACUGCAGGAAGAAUUACGGGAUGUGGCUGCAGGGACAGGUCACUGUACCAGGGCGAAGGCUCUUGUCAGGAACUUGUCUUGCUCCACAGCACUGAGGUGACCCUCGCAAGCCUGGUCUUUCUGCCUCUUUGCACUGCUGGAAUCAUGUGUUAGCCCUCUGGAAUGGGUUUGGUCUACAAACAGGUCUUUCUUCCUGUCUUUCUUUCUGAGUACCUCAAAAUAUGUCUGUAGGAAAGUGCUGGCAUUGAGGGAGCAGAGAGAGGCUCAAAACCAUCCAGGGCAGAGCAGGGCCCCAAACCUCUGGGUCUUGCCCAUCUCUCUGGGCGAGCUGCUCCAGAGCUGCUCUUUCAGGGUUUCUUGCCCGCCCAUAUGAAGUAGCUAAAGAUUGUCCUUGGCAGAGCCCAAACCAGCCGUGGGGACCCUGGAUGUGACCCCUGAGCCAGCCCAGCCACCUCCAGCUAAGAGGUGGCAUGGAUGUCCCAGAGUACUGCAGGAAGUCGCGUGGUCCCCUAAGCAAUGCCAGCUGUCUUGACCAUUCUCAGCUCACAGCCUCGGUCCAUCAAACUCUAAUAGCUAUGUAAAAGGGGGGCAUAAGCCCUGGCAAGGUGCUGGCUGGGAUUCAGGGUAGAGACACAUUAAUUAUGGGAAGUCUGAUAAGCCCUGUCUGUGUGACACUUCC
rnacentral:lncRNA from 1 species